rnacentral:rRNA from 1 species
AACGAACGCUGGCGGCAUGCCUAACACAUGCAAGUCGAACGAAGGCUUCGGCCGUAGUGGUGCACGGGUGCGUAACGCGUGGGAAUCUGCGCUUGGGUUCGGAAUAACUCGGAGAAAUCCGUGCUAAUACCGGAUGAUGUCGCAAGACCAAAGAUUUAUCGCCCAAGGAUGAGCCCGCGUAGGAUUAGCUAGUUGGUGGGGUAAAGGCCCACCAAGGCGACGAUCCGUAGCUAGCCUGAGAGGAUGAUCAGCCACACUGGGACUGAGACACGGCCCAAACUCCUACGGGAGGCAGCAGUGGGGAAUAUUGGACAAUGGGAGAAAGCCUGAUGCAGCGAUGCCGCGUGAGUGAUGAAGUACUUAGGGUUGUAAAGCUCUUUUACCCGGGAUGAUAAUGACAGUACCGGGAGAAUAAGCUCCGGCUAACUCCGUGCCAGCCGCCGCAGUAACAC